rnacentral:tRNA from 1 species
GCCUGGGUGGCUCAGUGGUUGAGCAUCUGCCUUUGGCUCAGGUCAUGAUCCCAGAGUCCUGGGAUGGAGUCCCACCUCAGGCU